UUUUGGUUCAAUCUGACCAGUAUUCACCCAUUCAAGAAACAUGCACUGAACUUUUGUUUUUAGGUAAAUAUAUCAAGAUAUGAAUAUUAGUCUGUAAGAAGGCUUCAAACAAAAAUUUGGGAAUAAAUUAACAUUAUUCUCACUAAAGAUUUUCCAAGGCAUAGAGUCUUUUGAUAAAGAUCUAGUAGCACUGAGGAUCAAGGAGACAAACAACAACAAAAUACCAUCCCUACACUCUCAGGAGGAGAUGAGAGACACAAACUUCAUCUCCUUUAAAAUUUCAUAGCCUAUUUUCUUUCAAUCUUAUCUGUUUGUGGAAUAAUAUCCAACAACCUCAAAGGUAUUCUUGAUGCCAAGAUCCAUUUUUAUGAAAAAAAAUGGCAUGCAAAAGGAUAUUAGAAUAGGGAAGAAACAGGUUAUUAAAGGUCAAAUCCAAGCUGUAUUUACUUUUAAAAAAAAAAACAAAACAAUGUAACUGGUUUGUGUUUAUUAUUGUUGUUGUAGUAGUGGUGAUAUUUGAAAUCUUCCAUAUUCCCCUCUCUAUAGAAGCACUUGUCAUCAUUAAAUGUCAAUGUUUACGUGCAUUAGAAAGGAUGUUUGGUAGCCAAUCCUUUUGCCUCAAGUUGGUAGACUUCAGAGACAUUGCAUAGCUGUCCCUUUCCAGGGAAGACUCAUUCACUGAAUCAUUACUGAGUCCAUGUCCUUCUCCCAACUGCUAGGAUAUAGGCACUGCCAUCUCACAUAAGUGAAGCAAGAAGCACUUAUUCCAUUCAGGCAUUUUAAGUCAAGUCUAGAAAUCAGGCCUGAGGCAAUUAAGGUAUAAUGUUUACAGCAGAAAAGUAUAUGAGGCAAUAAAUACUCGUUGAGGUUGGUUAACCGCUGAAAUGAAGGGAUGAUGUUUGAUAACCGCAGAAGCUAUUUGUGGUAAAUAUACUCCUAAACCAUGAACAUUGGUUGCAUUAGUUGAUGGAGUUCCAAAAGCUGUAAAAAAUGAUUAAAAGUAACACACUCAUUUACUUUUUCUUUGUGAGAUAUGUGAAAAUGCUGAGUUGUUGCUUCUUCUUUUCAAGAGCUUUAUUCAGCACUUAAUUUAUGUGCAACGAUAACUUC
rnacentral:lncRNA from 1 species